AUUGAACGCUGGCGGCAUGCCUUACACAUGCAAGUCGAACGGCAGCACGGGAGCAAUCCUGGUGGCGAGUGGCGAACGGGUGAGUAAUGUAUCGGAACGUGCCCAGUCGUGGGGGAUAACGUAGCGAAAGCUACGCUAAUACCGCAUACGAUCUAUGGAUGAAAGCGGGGGACCGUAAGGCCUCGCGCGAUUGGAGCGGCCGAUAUCAGAUUAGGUAGUUGGUGGGGUAAAGGCCUACCAAGCCGACGAUCUGUAGCUGGUCUGAGAGGACGACCAGCCACACUGGGACUGAGACACGGCCCAGACUCCUACGGGAGGCAGCAGUGGGGAAUUUUGGACAAUGGGCGCAAGCCUGAUCCAGCAAUGCCGCGUGCAGGAUGAAGGCCUUCGGGUUGUAAACUGCUUUUGUACGGAACGAAAAGCCCUGGGUUAAUACCCUGGGGUCAUGACGGUACCGUAAGAAUAAGCACCGGCUAACUACGUGCCAGCAGCCGCAGUAAAAC
rnacentral:rRNA from 1 species